CCUACGGGGGGCAGCAGUGAGGAAUAUUGGUCAAUGGGCGGAAGCCUGAACCAGCCAAGUAGCGUGCAGGAUGACGGCCCUACGGGUUGUAAACUGCUUUUAUACGGGAAUAACGCGCCUUACGUGUAGGGCUUUGCAUGUACCGUAUGAAUAAGGACCGGCUAAUUCCGUGCCAGCAGCCGCGGUAAUACGGAAGGGCCGGGCGUUAACCGGAUUUUUUGGGUUUAAAGGGAGCUUAGGCCCCAUGUCAAGCGUGCUGUGAAAUGGCCGGGCUCAACCCGGGCCUUGCAGCGCGAACUGGCGUGCUUGAGUCCGCGGAAAGCAGGCGGAAUUCGUCGUGUAGCGGUGAAAUGCUUAGAUAUGACGAAGAACCCCGAUUGCGAAGGCAGCUUGCUGCAGCGGAACUGACGCUGAUGCUCGAAAGCGCGGGUAUCGAACAGGAUUAGAUACCCGUGUAGUC
rnacentral:rRNA from 1 species